GGUAGUCCACGCCGUAAACUAUGAGAGCUAGCCGUUGGAGGGUUUACCCUUCAGUGGCGCAGCUAACGCAUUAAGCUCUCCGCCUGGGGAGUACGGUCGCAAGAUUAAAACUCAAAGGAAUUGACGGGGGCCCGCACAAGCAGUGGAGCAUGUGGUUUAAUUCGAAGCAACGCGAAGAACCUUACAGCCCUUGACAUGGUCGGACGGUUUCCAGAGAUGGAUUCCUUCACUUCGGUGACUGACACACAGGUGCUGCAUGGCUGUCGUCAGCUCGUGUCGUGAGAUG
rnacentral:rRNA from 1 species